UUAUUUUAAAUCAACUAAAGACUCAUGAGAUUUAUUUGGUUACAGUGAAUAACCUGGACAAAAUGUUGAGAAGAGUUGUUAAAACAAGUUUACAUUAAAUAUACUAACAAUUACGUUUGGUUACAUAUUUGUAAGUGAUGGUUAUUUAGAAAAACUGCAUAGAAAUCCAAACCUUAAAUAUUCUGCAAAUCAAAUCAUUAGCUUUUCUCUUCUCUAAUAAAGUAGGGUGACUAGUUCUUGGAUUAAUCUAACUAUAACAUUAAUGUAGCACUUGAUUAUCUUAUGGAAUAAUUCUCUAUCUCAUCUAAGCCUCACAACAACCUUGUAAAGUAUUAUCCCCAUAUGGAGGAAGAAACAGGCUUAGAAGUGGAAAGGUAGAUUCUCUGCUCGCACAACCGUAUUAUGUGGCUAAGCUAUUGAACUUGAACCUAGAUUUGGGACUUCAUUUCAAAUAUGAAAUUUUUUGAUUAAAUGCAAUUAAGAAUGACAUGAAUAUAUUUUCUGUUAAUGAUAAAAACAAACAUGGGCUUGACAUUUAAAUGAAAAUGUUUGCAUUUAGGAUACUACUGAUAAAUCUUUUAAAUAACCUUACUUUCAAAACUUAGUUUAAGGUUGAACAUCCCAGUGACCAGAUUAUGAUUAACAGAUUGAAAAAUGAUAAAGCCUGAAGUCUAAGUUUAUCCAGCAGGGUGACUCAUGCUUCUUUGUCAUCCUCCCACGGCAGCAAUUUGUUCCAUGUGAAUGCUAGUAACAGGCAUCAUACACUGUUAAUGCUAAUAUGUAGGAGUCAGUUGGAGGCAAAAACCCCUAUCACGAUUAGCAUUAACAGCAUACAGCCUACAGCAAGCCUUCAGCACUCAGAGGAUGAGGCAUAAAGAAUUUAAACCACAGAUUUCCCCUUCCUGGUUUGUGCCACCUGCAAGAGAGAAAGAAAUGUUUGUGUAUGCACAUGCGGUUAUAAAGCUGGAGUGACAGCAUAUAGUAAAUCUGAAAGGAAAAUAGUCCAUUUUCUGUUGAAAGGAAGGAGCUCAUUAAAUUGAAUGAUAAGAUUACCACUUUUCAGAUCAUUAACUUUACAUAUAAGAAAAAUUCCCUGAGUAAGCCAUUGCUGGGGGAAAAAUUAUAAACUUUUCAUGUCAUGAUACUUUAUUUAUUUCCAUAAAAACUUAACAUCACUUCUUGAUAUUUUCUAAUUGAGAGCUCUUUAUUGAAAAAUAGCAACUUUCUAAAUUAAGAGCUCCUUAUUGAAAAUAGCAGUUUGUGCACACAAUAGCAUAACAUUCUUUUCUGUAUUUUGAGAAUUAAGAAAAUAAAUGUUUUUAAAGAUAUAUGCCAAUAGUGAUAUUUAACACAUAAAGGUGUGAUGUAUUUUUGAAGUGUCUUAGAAGAAAGCCAAUGUGGCCUCUAACUUUCUGGGUUUGUAAGGGUAGGGUUGUGCCUAUCCUGCUCACCUUUGUCUCUCCAGUGUCUAGCAUAGCGUCCAGCACAGGCAGACUAUGAUGCCUGUUUUUUUUUUGUUGUUGUUUUUUUUUUUUUUUUUUUGGUAAAGACCAGUGAAUUACACUUUUUACACAUGACUAGGUUAAAACAAAAGUAGACAUUUGUGCAAACACCACUGUUCUCCCUUGAAGUGGUUGUAGGUCUCAGACAGUGCUAAUUUUUCUCUUUCUUAAUGUGUGUGGUUAGGAAGCUGGGUCCUGUGGCCAGAGUGAGCUGACCCACUAUGUGAGGAAACUUACUUAUCACAGCCUAAUAAGGAGUAGUCCUUGCAGCAGAAGUAAUUACUAAAUGUGCUUUGGUCAUUUGACAGAAAUCAGGGAGGCAGCAAGGAGUCAUGGAAAUGAGCCCAAACUGAGAGUCAAAACCCUGUGGUCUGCCGACACCCCCAUCCCACAUCCGUACCUAAAAGCAGGCUGUGCACUAGGGACCUAGUGACCUUACUAGAAAAAACUCAAAUUCUCUGAGCCACAAGUCCUCAUGGGCAAAAUGUAGAUACCACCACCUAACCCUGCCAAUUUCCUAUCAUUGUGACUAUCAAAUUAAACC
rnacentral:lncRNA from 10 species